AGUCUGACAAAGUCAGAGAGCCGUGUCUCUCUACAGUGAGAGGUUUUUGUACGGCGGCUCAAUGACUUUGUAUCACUGUGGAGGACUUUUGGUGGAGGAACCAGACUGAAUGUUGGAAGUGAUGUCCGUCCCACCCUGACGGUGCUGCCCCCCUCCAGUGAGGAGCUGCUGAAGGGGAAGGCCACGCUCAUGUGCCUGGCCAACAAGGGCUUCCCCUCAGACUGGAGUCUGGCCUGGAAGGUGGACGGCAGCAGCAGCAGCAGCAGCAGCAGCUGGGAGGAGAGCAGGAGCCCCGGGGUGCUGGAGAAGGACGGCAAAUACAGCUGGAGCAGCACCCUGAGGCUCCCUGCAGACCAGUGGGAGAAGGUGGGCUCUGUGACCUGUGAGGCCACCCAGGGCUCCCAGACUCCACUCUCAGAGACACUGAGGAGAGACCAGUGUUCCCAGUCCUGACCU